rnacentral:rRNA from 1 species
AUACGGAGGUUGCAAGCGUUAUUCGGAAUCACUGGGCGUAAAGGACGCGUAGGCGGGUUGGCAAGUCAGAUGUGAAAUCCUACAGCUUAACUGUAGAACUGCAUUUGAAACUGCUAACCUAGAGUAUGGGAGGGGGAGAUGGAAUUAGUGGUGUAGGGGUAAAAUCCGUAGAUAUCACUAGGAAUACCGAAAGCGAAGGCGAUCUCCUGGAACAUAACUGACGCUAAGGCGUGAAAGCGUGGGGAGCAAACAGGAUUAGAAACCCUAGUAGUCC